rnacentral:rRNA from 1 species
UACGGAGAGUGCAAACGUUGUUCGGAUUCACUGGGCGUAAAGGGUGCGUAGGCGGUUGGGUAAGUCUGUCGUGAAAUCUCCGAGCCUAACUCGGAAACUGCGUCGGAUACUAUUCAACUCGAGGAAUGGAGGGGAGACUGGAAUUCUGCGGUGUAGCAGUAGAAAUGCGUAGAUAUCGAGAGGAACACCAGUGGCGAAGGCGAGUCUCUGGACAUUUUCCUGACGCUGAGGCACGAAAGCCAGGGGGAGCAAACGGG